AGAGUUUGAUCCUGGCUCAGGACGAACGCUGGCGGCGCGCCUAACACAUGCAAGUCGAACGGAGCUGAGAGGAGCUUGCUUUUCUUAGCUUAGUGGCGAACGGGUGAGUAACGCGUGAGUAACCUGCCCUGGAGUGGGGGACAACAGUUGGAAACGACUGCUAAUACCGCAUAAGCCCACGGAUCCGCAUGGAUCUGCGGGAAAAGGAUUUAUUCGCCUCAGGAUGGACUCGCGUCCAAUUAGCUAGUUGGUGAGGUAACGGCCCACCAAGGCGACGAUUGGUAGCCGGACUGAGAGGUUGAACGGCCACAUUGGGACUGAGACACGGCCCAGACUCCUACGGGAGGCAGCAGUGGGGGAUAUUGCACAAUGGGGGAAACCCUGAUGCAGCGACGCCGCGUGGAGGAAGAAGGUUUUCGGAUUGUAAACUCCUGUCGUUAGGGACGAUAAUGACGGUACCUAACAAGAAAGCACCGGCUAACUACGUGCCAGCAGCCGCGGUAAAACGUAGGGUGCAAGCGUUGUCCGGAAUUACUGGGUGUAAAGGGAGCGCAGGCGGACCGGCAAGUUGGAAGUGAAAACUAUGGGCUCAACCCAUAAAUUGCUUUCAAAACUGCUGGCCUUGAGUAGUGCAGAGGUAGGUGGAAUUCCCGGUGUAGCGGUGGAAUGCGUAGAUAUCGGGAGGAACACCAGUGGCGAAGGCGACCUACUGGGCACCAACUGACGCUGAGGCUCGAAAGCAUGGGUAGCAAACAGGAUUAGAUACCCUGGUAGUCCAUGCCGUAAACGAUGAUUACUAGGUGUUGGAGGAUUGACCCCUUCAGUGCCGCAGUUAACACAAUAAGUAAUCCACCUGGGGAGUACGACCGCAAGGUUGAAACUCAAAGGAAUUGACGGGGGCCCGCACAAGCAGUGGAGUAUGUGGUUUAAUUCGAAGCAACGCGAAGAACCUUACCAGGUCUUGACAUCCGAUGCAUAGUGCAGAGAUGCAUGAAGUCCUUCGGGACAUCGAGACAGGUGGUGCAUGGUUGUCGUCAGCUCGUGUCGUGAGAUGUUGGGUUAAGUCCCGCAACGAGCGCAACCCUUAUUGCCAGUUACUACGAAAGAGGACUCUGGCGAGACUGCCGUUGACAAAACGGAGGAAGGUGGGGAUGACGUCAAAUCAUCAUGCCCUUUAUGACCUGGGCUACACACAUACUACAAUGGCGUUUAACAAAGAGAAGCAAGACCGCGAGGUGGAGCAAAACUCAAAAACAACGUCUCAGUUCAGAUUGCAGGCUGCAACUCGCCUGCAUGAAGCC
rnacentral:rRNA from 1 species